GGCUCUAUAGUUCAGGGGUAGAACACUCGCUUCAUAAGCGAUAUGUCGCAAGUUCAAAUCUUGCUAGAGCUACCA
rnacentral:tRNA from 1 species